ensembl:lncRNA
GAAUAGUUUAAUUGUAUACAGAGUCUCUCUGUGCUAGGCCAUCACAUUAUACAUGGAUGCAAAAAAAAAAAAAAGAGUUUACUUCACUUUCUUCAUAGUUAUCAAUCAUCUAUAUCAAGACAUACAACUUUCAGAAAUAAUGUUACAGAGCAACACUGUCAAGCUCUGCUGCUAGCAGAUGAAUGCUGCACUUCUGACACAGCUGAAGCUGCUGCAGGUGAGAAGUAAUCCUGUGGCACUGGACAGUUGCAAGGCUGAGGAUCUACCAACAAAAUUAUUUCAUCUUUUCACAUUUCUGUGAAACCUCGUGAUGGAUUUGGAGCUGCCUG